AAAUGAAUAGACGGGGGCCCGCACAAGCGGUGGAGCAUGUGGUUUAAUUCGACGCAACGCGAAGAACCUUACCAAGGCUUGACAUCCCAAUGACGUUAUCAGAGAUGAUAAUUCCCUUUGGGCAUUGGAGACAGGUGGUGCAUGGUUGUCGUCAGCUCGUGUCGUGAGAUGUUGGGUUAAGUCCCGCAACGAGCGCAACCCUUAUGUUUAGUUGCCAUCAGGUGAAGCUGGGCACACUAGAGAGACUGCCGUGGACAACACGGAGGAAGGUGGGGACGACGUCAAAUCAUCAUGCCCCUUAUGUCUUGGGCUACACACGUGCUACAAUGGGUGAAACAAAGUGAAGCAAAACUGCGAAGUUGAGCAAAUCACAAAAAGCAUCCUCAGUUCGGAUUGCAGUCUGCAACUCGACUGCAUGAAGUUGGAAUCGCUAGUAAUCGCGAAUCAGCAUGUCGCGGUGAAUACGUUCCCGGGCCUUGUACACACCGCCCGU
rnacentral:rRNA from 1 species